UGUACAGUUUGUCACCUCACAUCUUUUUUCAUAUGUAUUUAGGUGCUUAGGCCCUAGAAUUGGAGUACCAUCUCACUGACUGACAGACCGGUGAGAUAUUAAAAUGGUUUAAUUAGUUUUGGGGAAGUUAUGGAGAUUUGGGAUUGACAUAUCUGAUUUAAAAAAACAAAAAAAACAAAACAGGUUUCACUUCAACAUUUGAUGGUGUUGAAGUGAAACCUGAAGCUAAACUUGCAUAAAUACCGAAUCAUUUUCUUUGUUCCCAGGAAGCCUCGGACUUACCUUUUGCUGUUGUGGCUAAUGACGGAGCCUGUUCCUGUCUUUGGUUAUCUAGCUGUAUGAGUGAUAAUCAUGCAUCAUAAAGCUAGAUAACCGAAAGUAGGAAUGACCUCCAAAUCCUCAGCCUCUUGUUUAUGAGAUUAAGAAAAAAAAAAAGAAGAAGAAAAGAAAGAAAAACUCCAAAAGGAGGACAUGUUGUCUUUUCAGAUGAGGACCAAAAUGGUACCAGAGUCAUCAAGCUGUAGAGGAUCAGGGGUCACUGUGAGGAAUCCCGUCUCCACUACUGGACUCAAAGUUUUCUCCCCACAUGCGAGCAGAGCUGCGCAAACAGAUCUCCCUUCAAGCUGAUUACAAAUAAAAUUGCUCUGCGAACAAAAAAAAAAAUUGUUCUCACACUCUUUGCAGAAGAUUCAUGCGUUUUCUUAUUUUAGAAAAUAAGCUAAAAGGUGUACAAAUGUGUGAAAUGAAUUUAAUUGCAAUGCCAUUUUAGUUUUUGUUUAUUUAUUUAAAUAUAAAUUUGUCCCGGAAAGCUAUUAGUAAAAUCAUAUUGUAUUCAGGUCUGUGUAUUUCAUCAUUUUUAAUGACUUGUUCAUAAAUUAACGCAAUAAACGUGUAAUGUAAACUUUCUUCACGUUAUAAUGUCGAUAGUGUAUUAAUACAUCUUUUUUAAGUUACCUUUUAAACUGGAUCUCAGCAAAGUGACUGAAACCUAUUUAUUUAAUAAAAAUGUAAUUAAAAACAGAAAUGAGAUGGCUCUGUAAUUAUUAUUAAAAUCACUGAGCUGAAAUCUUCACAAAGGCCGUUUCGGUCAGCACCUUGGACAGAGGUAGACUGCAACGAGCGCUCCACGCUUGGAGGGUGAAGAAUGAAAGACGACAAUUUAUUUUAUUUUAUUUUAUUUUAUGUUAGGUUUUUUUUUUUAAACAGGUGAAUUAUGACAAAUUUGAAACAAAGAUUGCAUGAUAUAUAUUCUACUACAAGCUUAAAAUUAGCUUCCUGCCCCUGCUGUUGAUUCGAUCGUGAUGUAAAACAGGUCAAAUAAAUUAAUUCAAUCCAGCUGUUGAUGACAGCGUAACGCAGACUUCAGCAUGUUGCCGUUCGUCUAAUUGCUGCUUUUCUGGAGAUCAAACUGACCCCAGUUCCCGAGAACUAGUCUGCUGCUGGACAGAGGGUCGUGCCCUUUUACUCUCCUGGGACACAACUUGACCCGACACAACCGGUCGGACACGUGUGCCUUCUUCGAUCCACGAUCCGACUUCAUGAUUAGUGAAGUUUGCGUCAUUCCUCCCAUGGCUCUUUCAGCG
rnacentral:lncRNA from 1 species